UCGAGCGGCAGCGCGGGGCAACCUGGCGGCGAGCGGCGAACGGGUGAGUAAUGCAUCGGAACAUGUCCUGUCGUGGGGGAUAGCCCGGCGAAAGCCGGAUUAAUACCGCAUACGUCCGAGAGGAGAAAGUGGGGGACCGCAAGGCCUCACGCGAUUGGGUUGGCCGAUGUCCGAUUAGCUAGUUGGUGGGGUAAAGGCUCACCAAGGCGAUGAUCGGUAGCUGGUCUGAGAGGAUGAUCAGCCACACUGGGACUGAGACACGGCCCAGACUCCUACGGGAGGCAGCAGUGGGGAAUUUUGGACAAUGGGGGCAACCCUGAUCCAGCCAUUCCGCGUGAGUGAAGAAGGCCUUCGGGUUGUAAAGCUCUUUUGUCCGGAACGAAACGGCUACGGUUAAUACCUGUGGCUACUGACGGUACCGGAAGAAUAAGCACCGGCUAACUACGUGCCAGCAGCCGCGGUAAUACGUAGGGUGCGAGCGUUAAUCGGAAUUACUGGGCGUAAAGCGUGCGCAGGCGGUUUUGUAAGCCAGAUGUGAAAUCCCCGGGCUUAACCUGGGAAUGGCAUUUGGGACUGCAAGGCUUGAGUGCGGCAGAGGAGACUGGAAUUCCUGGUGUAGCAGUGAAAUGCGUAGAUAUCAGGAGGAAUACCGAUGGCGAAGGCAGGUCUCUGGGCUGACACUGACGCUCAUGCACGAAAGCGUGGGGAGCAAACAGGAUUAGAUACCCUGGUAGUCCACGCCCUAAACGAUGUCGACUGGUUGUUG
rnacentral:rRNA from 1 species